UGUGGGAGCUGGCUUGCCUGCGAUGCAGACACCUCGGUGCAUCAGAGACACCCGGUUGAGGCUAUCGCAGGCAAGCCAGCUCCCACA
rnacentral:antisense_RNA from 1 species